AUCCCUUUUCGGCUCUCUGAACUAAAAUCAUGUGUAGAAUCUGUUCUUUGCAAUGUAAAUUUUGGAACCGUCUUCUAAACUGAGACCAAUGAAAUUACCUGUAUUUUUACCCCCCGACGGGGGCUGGGAACUUUGUUAAACCCCGUUCCACGGGGCGGCCUCCUAUUGCAUUUCCCCCAAGGAAUGGCCCCCUUUAA
rnacentral:snRNA from 1 species